AAGUGUUAUUGUUCACCAAUCAAAUGUGUUUUUUAUUCCGUACUUGGCAUAUAGUGAUGGAAUGAGAGUCAUUGAAUUUGGCAAGCAAUAAUUAUAGUAAACAAGUAAUAGAUGAUGAGGCCACAGAAGUAUGAUGUGAUUAAUUAGGUUGAGGAAAAAAGUUAGUUA